rnacentral:rRNA from 1 species
GGGGAAUAUUGCACAAUGGGCGCAAGCCUGAUGCAGCCAUGCCGCGUGUAUGAAGAAGGCCUUCGGGUUGUAAAGUACUUUCAGCGAGGAGGAAGGCGUUGUGGUUAAUAACCGCAACGAUUGACGUUACUCGCAGAAGAAGCACCGGCUAACUCCGUGCCAGCAGCCGCGGUAAUACGGAGGGUGCAAGCGUUAAUCGGAAUUACUGGGCGUAAAGCGCACGCAGGCGGUCUGUCAAGUCGGAUGUGAAAUCCCCGGGCUCAACCUGGGAACUGCAUCCGAAACUGGCAGGCUAGAGUCUUGUAGAGGGGGGUAGAAUUCCAGGUGUAGCGGUGAAAUGCGUAGAGAUCUGGAGGAAUACCAAUUGCGAAGGCAGGUCACUAAGUAUCAACUGACGCUGAUGGACGAAAGCGUGGGGAGCGAACA